rnacentral:pre_miRNA from 9 species
UCUCGAUAGCGUAAAAGUUAGCUCAUAUUUGUAUGGAGUUGGAACGUUUGCAUGCGUUUACCGCUAGGGGCACUGUUCGAACUGCAUACAAAAUUGGCUUAACUUUUACGCUAUCGA